rnacentral:misc_RNA from 1 species
GUAUUUAGAAUUAUUUUAUUCAAAAUAUCUUCAGACAAAAUUGUUAUAAUAAAAAGUUGGUAUUGUGUCCUUCCUCCCAAAAGGAAGAAAAGACAAACAUUGCACACAAGGUGAGUACUUAUUUAAAAAGUGCAGUAAAAACACUUAUUAUGAAUGAUCCUUCCGCAGGUUCACCUACGGAAA